GUUCACCAUACUUAUUUUGACAGUGAUCUGUCAUCUUACCUCGGCGACAUGAAGAGGUUGCUGGGUGUUUUUACGGCGCUGCUGGUGCUGGCUGCCGUCUGCUGCGUAUCGGUGCACGCCGCUGCCGUGGCCGACCCAGAGGCCGCCCACCACGGAGGACACCGCCGGGGCGGCGGCCACCAUGGGGGACACCAUGGCGGCGGAAACUAUGGCGGCGACCACCAUCGGCACCACGGCUGAGGGGCCCGACUUCACCACUGUAACUACACUUCCUAUGGCGUCAACUGGAUUUCUUCCAGGAGACCUGCAGUGCCAGAGCUGCUUGCUUUCCCAGAUGUCAUAAUGAAUGAAGAGAAGACAUCUGUCUGUAUAUAUUGUAAACAAUAAACACAUUUUUUAGUA